UCGUAGGUACCGUCCUGUAGGCCUUCGUC
rnacentral:sRNA from 1 species